UUUUUUUGAUCGGAAAAAGAUUUUAUAAAUCACCAAAAGAGGUACCAGAGGUACCAGAAAAGUUACAACACAAGAGAGUGAAUUUCCUGAGUCAUCCAAAAGGAAAACUUGUUGUCCUUGUCCACCAUCCCAAACACUUUACACCAACUCCACAUUCUAGCUUUAAGCUCCCCCAUCAUGCUCUUGAUUUCUCCAUUCUUGCAUUCGAAUCUACCUUCAUUUCGCCACUUCCACAUGAGCCAAACGUAGCAAACCCAAAGUGCCGAAAGAAAGUUCCAGCUCCUCUUACUCCUGCCCAAAUGAGUGAAGGAUUCAAAAUGUGUGAUUAAAGAAUGGUGUCGCACGUCUGAAAUUCCCAGCCACUUUUGAAUUUCA
rnacentral:lncRNA from 1 species